rnacentral:misc_RNA from 1 species
CCGAGUCUAACAACUCAUCAACCCUGUGAACAUACCUAAACGUUGCUUCGGCGGGAACAGACGGCCCGUGUUACAGGGCCGCCCCCGCCAGAGGACCCCCUAACUCUGUAUCUGUUAUGUUUUUUCUGAGUAAACAAGCAAAUAAAUUA